UGACAACGUGUGGAAAUACACUGUAUGUUUCUUCGGUCUUUCCAGAACGUUUUCAUGCUAAAAGGAGGACUUCAUGGGUCAAUGCGCAAUGAUUGACAUCCCUCAGAAGAUAUUAUGGGCAGACUGAUAAACCGCCUGGAGGAAUUUGCUAGGGUGUGGUCGCCCACAUCCACUAUUAGCGAAGUGUUCGGCGUUUUGUAAACUUGGCUUACUAAUUUUCCUCGCAUUCACGAAAUACUUACUUAGUUCUGUUUUGCAGCGUUGAAAAUACAAUUUUGCCAACCUGAAUGCAAAUGUGGAA